AUUGAACGCUGGCGGCAUGCUUUACACAUGCAAGUCGAACGGUAACAGGCCGCAAGGUGCUGACGAGUGGCGAACGGGUGAGUAAUGCAUCGGAACGUGCCCAGUCGUGGGGGAUAACGCAGCGAAAGCUGCGCUAAUACCGCAUACGAUCUAUGGAUGAAAGCGGGGGACCGUAAGGCCUCGCGCGAUUGGAGCGGCCGAUGUCAGAUUAGGUAGUUGGUGGGGUAAAGGCCUACCAAGCCAACGAACUGUAGCUGGUCUGAGAGGACGACCAGCCACACUGGGACUGAGACACGGCCCAGACUCCUACGGGAGGCAGCAGUGGGGAAUUUUGGACAAUGGGCGCAAGCCUGAUCCAGCAAUGCCGCGUGCAGGAAGAAGGCCUUCGGGUUGUAAACUGCUUUUGUACGGAACGAAACGGUCUGGGUUAAUACCCUGGGCUAAUGACGGUACCGUAAGAAUAGGCACCGGCUAACUACGUGCCAGCCGCCGCCGUAAUAC
rnacentral:rRNA from 1 species